CCCGCCCCCAACAGCAACCGGGAACCUGUCAAAUCAUCGAACAGGGGCGGAACUAACUGUGAUGCAGAGGUCACGACCACGACCAGACCUAGGAGGUCCCUCACUCAGGGAGGGCCCAACUUCAGAACAUGAAUAAAGAUGUUUUUUGUUUUGUUUGUU